GACCCACCCGCCGCAGCUUGGCACCCGCCCUCCCGAUCUCCAGCUCCGUCUCUUUCCGAGGCUGCUCCCGCGACGAGCUCUUCCUGCCUGGGUAUGGCAGUUCCAGCAUUCAGGAGGCCGAGGCAGGACACUGAAGUAGAACACUCCAAGGGGAAUGAGAGUUGUGCUUCGGUUUCCCCUAGCAAGGCCACAACUGCACAACCUUCUCCCCACCCCCGUGAAUGAGUGCAUAAUUCUUUUUGCCCUUUUCCAACUGUGGAUCCCAAGCCCAGUGGAUGUUCUCAAGGUUUAAUGCUAAAUUCAAAGAGGGUGUGUGGAGAGCAGGAAGACCCCAAGUUUAGGAGCAGAUGCUUCAUAAAUGGAUAAAAGAAAGCAAAUUACUUAAA